AUUAAAGUGGCAGAACUCGGAUAUUGCAGAAGGUCUAAAUCCUUCUUACAGAAGCUCAAACCUCUCUUUAAUU
rnacentral:tRNA from 1 species